rnacentral:misc_RNA from 1 species
GAUGAAGAACGUAGCGAAAUGCGAUACUUGGUGUGAAUUGCAGAAUCCCGUGAACCAUCGAGUCUUUGAACGCAAGUUGCGCCCGAAGCCAUCAGGUUGAGGGGACGUCUGCCUGGGCGUCACAUAUCGUUGCCCAAUGCCUAUUGCAGUGCAAUAGGAAUUUCUAGGGCGAAUGAUGGCUUCCCGUGAGCGUUGUUGCCUCGCGGUUGGUUGAAAAUCGAGUCCUUGGUAGGGUGUGCCAUGGUAGAUGGUGGUCGAGUUAGAACGAUACCGAUCAUGUGCAUGCUCCCCAAAAUAUGGCCUCUAUGACCCACACGCGUCUUUUGACGCUCAUGACGAGACCUCAGGUCAGGCGGGGCUACCCGCUGAAUUUAAGCAUAUCAAUAAGCGGAGGA